rnacentral:lncRNA from 1 species
AAACAAAACAGACCUAGAGUCUAUAAACUUUAUAAUUUAUCCUUAGAUUAUAAAGCUAUCAGUAGAUUAGAUAACAAUCCUUAAAUUAGAAAAGCAAUCCUUAGUAUAAUCAAGCAAUCCUCAGCCUUAAUUUACAGUACGUUCAAAACUCCCAAGUGUUCUUCAACAUUCAAUUUCAUAUGUAAGUCAAUUAUUUUAUGCAAUCAAUUCUUGAAAUUUUUAAGUUACUGUUUCAACUUGUAUUCAUUGCAAUUAAGUUUCUUAACUUAUUCAUUUAUAUCAUCGCUCUUAACUUAUAGUAAUUUAGCUAUUACUUGAUUUCUUAAGCUCCAUUUUACAUUCUCAGCUAUCAAUUUCACAUCCUUAGCUCAUAAUUGCAUACCCAUCGCUCAAUUUUAUAUUCUUAGCUCAUUAUUAGCUUAAACUUUAGCUCAUUAAUUAGCUUUAUAUGUUGAUUUAGCAAAACUGCAUUAGCUUAGCUAAGAACCUAAGGUAAUUGUGUCUCUUUAUUACUUGCACAAUCAUCUAGAUUAGAAGUUAAACGGUCGCGCAUUUUACAUGUAUUGCAUCCAUAUCAAUUAUUUCAGGUAAUUAACCUCUGGCACGCUCACCAAUCCAUCGCACAUGAAAUGACUGGAUACUAACCAAAUAUACUAUUACAAAUUUGAUUUAAAAUAAUUAUCCUUUGUUCUCAAGAAAACUGAAAAGAUAUGAUAAUUUUAUUUGCACAUAAUCAAUAUAGUUAACCAUGCACUAAAUUAUCUAUAUAUAUAAAUUUCGAGACAUAAAAAUAUUUUGAUAUAUGUUAUUGUUUUGAUAUUUAGGAUUUUUUUUUUGACAUAUGUACUUAUUUUUAAUAUGUAGGUUUUUACACUUAAAUUCACUACUAAGUCCAUCCUAAUAAAUUCGGUCAAGUCUAUAGUUAAGUCCAUUUAAUUUUUAUCCAAAUCUUAAAGCCUUUGAAUUUUAGUCCGUAUUCAGAUUCUUAAGCCAUGAGUAAAUCCUCAUUCCAAUAGCGAGAAGAUGGUUUAAUAAUCCUUAAAAAUUAUUGACAUGUAAAAAAUAAAGAAGUGGAAAGGUAGAAAGACAGUUACAAAAUCUUCUAUAGUCUUGAAGUACAUUCUUAUAAAGUGAUGAAGAAUGAAUACAAGUGUCGGUCAAAAAAGAAGUGAUAUGGAAGUGAAAUAUAUUCAAAGAAAAAAAGGGUAUGUNNNNNNNNNNNNNNNNNNNNNNNNNNNNNNNNNNNNNNNNNUUAAUAUGUGAAAAAUGUGAAAAGCAACAGUACAUGCUCUUAAGAUGAGGAGUUAAUUGAAGACUAAACCAAGGAUGAAGAAUACUCUAAAAUGAUUCUACAAGCCAAGGAAGUCUAUAAAUAGACAAUGACCUCUAUAGUAAGCAAACUUUAACCAACCAACCAAUCAAUAUCAAAUAAAAAAAACAGACUCAAAGUUUAUAAACUUUACUUUUACAUUUAUCCUUAGAUUAAUCAACCAUCCUUAGAUUAGAAUAGUAAUUCUUAGAUUAGAAAAGCAUUCCUUAGUUGCUAAUUAUAAUAUGAUCAAGCUUUCAAGUGUUUCUCAGCGACUAUUUACAUCUUGUAAGUCAUUUAUUUUGUAUAAUUAAAUUCUCGAAGCUUUCCAGGAAUUGUUUCAUUGUGAUAGUUAUUGCAAUUUAUUCCUUAGCUCACAUAAUUACAUUAACUCUCUUAGCUUAGAGUAAGUUAGCUUUUAGCUUUAUUCCUUAAGGUUAGUUUCACAUUUUUAGCUCGUUAAUUACAUGUUCUUAGCUCAUAUUUGCAUACUUCUAGCUCAUAUUUACAUCCUUAGCUCAUUAUUAGUUUAUCUUUUAGCUCAUUUAAUUAGCUACAGUAGUUAUUAGUAAAAUUGUAUUAGCUUAACUAAGAAACAAAGAUAGUUAAGUCUAUUUAUUACCUACAGAAUCAUUUAGAUAUAUGUUUUACAUUUAUUGCAUCAACUGUGAUUAUUUGAGAUAGCCAUCAUCUAGCAUAUUCAAUAGUAAAUUACACGUGAAAGAACUAAAAUAUUAACCAAACAGUAAAAUUUAAGUUGAUGUGUAAUUAUAUAAAUUUUCUUGUAUUAAUUUAUUAAUAAAUUAGUUACUUUCUUAAUUAAAAGAUAAUUCCAAUCUUAGAAUUCAGAUUUUAAUUAUAUUUUUAGAUAUUAUAAUUACUAAUAAAUCAGUUUUUAAAAUAUACAAUAAUAUCUGAUCUUUAAAAAUACCAUUUUAAUUAUAUUUAUAAUUAAUAAAUUAAUACAUAAAUUUUUUAAUAUAUAUAUAUAUAUAUUUAUUAACAUAUUAUUUUGAACACACAAAUAUUAUGCUUAAAUUUAUAAUUUUUAUAUUUAUUAUAUAAUUAAUACAUUAAUAAUAAAUCAUUAAUAUAAUUAUAGGAUGAUUUAUAAUUCUAAAAAAUAUCAUAUUUAAUUUUAUGUACAAUAAUAAAAUUAAUUAUUUAUAUUAAUAGAAUCUUACAACAUCACAAAUAUUAUUAAGAAAACAUAAAUUAUUGGUGGAUUUUGAAGAACACAGCUAAUUUCGCCCGACUCUGUACUGCCUGUGAUGGAAAGAUAACUUUUUUAUAGGUUGGAAAUUGCAUUACUGGUGGUGGAAGGACUCUUGUAUUUUCCUAUCAUUUGUGCUAUAAAUUUCUUUAUCCAUUGUAUCAGUGGUACAUGCUUAAGAGCCUACAGUGGAUACUGUCUCUUUUGGCCUAGUUCUCUGCCCGGAGCAAAGUUGUUUGAUGGAGUACCGGUAGAAGUCUUUAGAUGCAUGUGGAAGAUGAUACUCAAGGGCUUUUCAGUAAUUUUCUAUUAUUUGUAGGUCUUCGGAGCGAUGCUAUUAUGGGCUUUAAGCCCAUGUCUUGGUUCAAAACACCUGGGUUUAUCAAUCCCUUAAUGGUGUACGGUAUUUGGAAUAUCAAUUUAUUAUCUUGUUUUAUAGCUACGCAUAGACAUUUUGUAGUGCAUUGGGCUUUUAGCCCUUUUGAUACUAACUCUUUUUUAAUUGAUAAAAGAAGGAAAAAUAACAAAAAUACUUUUAUAUAUAUAUCAAAUUUGCAGUAAUUUUUAUUUUUAUUUUUAUUUUUACUAUGUUAAACUAUCAAAAAUACGUUUGUUUAUUUUUUUUAAUAACACAAUUUUAGUUUUUUUUUUUUUUUCUUUGAUUGUUUCUGAGUAAAAUAACUAAAAAAACAAAAAGAAAACUAUAAUACUAUAAAUUUAAAAAAUUAAAAUAAGAAAUAUAAUAUCUUAAAAAAUACUACAUAGUAAAAGUGAUAUUUUUUUAUUGAUUUUAAAAUAUUUCUAAGAAAUUGUCUAAAAAAGAGGUAUUUUUUCAUGAGAGGAAUAGAUUUUGCUGUCAGCAGGGAAAAAAGUGGCGGAGGACAUUAGCUUUCUGGCCUAAUGGGCUAUUAAUGAUAUUUUCUUUGGGCUUCAAAUCUGACAGAGAAGCUUCUGAGUCCAACCCAUGGCUACAUCAAUUUUACAAUAUCCAAACCCUAAGAGCUGGAGCAUAACUGUUUUUUUUUUUCUUUUUCUUUUUUUUUAUGCCCAAGUUCAAGUUCCAGUCCAGAUUUGCCUAUAAAUUAAUAGCUAAAUACAUAUUUAUGUCUCUAAACUUGUAUCGAUUAGACAUUUAAAAUUAUUAAAAAAUAAAACCAGAUUAGUCUUUUUCUAAUGUACUUAUCCUACUUUAUUAGAUAUUAUGUAAUCGACAAGGGAUAGGAAAAUAAAACAAUUUUG